GCUUAGAAUUUCAAUUAGAUAUUUUUUUCCAGUCAGCUCUUUUUGGCUGUUGGUGUUGAAGCACAAUUCCAAAUGGAAUCUAAUAGGAAUGGCAAACGGAAAUUGGGUGUUAACGCUUGACAGAGCAACAGACGAGCGUGAAAAGUUAACCAAAUAAUAAAAGCAACAACAAGCAGCAACAGCAAGCAGCAGCAGCAACUGCCACAACGAAUCAACGUCCACUCACAGUUUGAGAGGCACUGCCUUUAGCACGGUCGGCAAUUUUCAUCAAGUUCGUUGGCAUUCGCGCUAAUUUGAUUUGAGUGCAAUGACAGCCAAGCACCAAACGACUCCAGAACCAGUGGCACCAGCAGCCACGCCCACCCACCGAGAAGCACGCCCCCGUCCCUGUCACAUUGUCCUGUUUGCCCAGGUGCAACAUUUGCUGUUGCCUUAUUUGCUGUUGUUGUCGUUGCUCCAGUCUCCAAUUAGCUUUGCUGCCAAUUAGCCAAAACAUUCCACUUGCUGCUCAUAAUUUAGGUAAAUGUUUUUUUUUUCCUUUUGGAUAUUUGGUAUUUGGAGCAAAACUGAGUCGAAAGCAUUGACAAUUUUAUUUAUGGGGCACGAACAAAUUGUUGCUGUUGCAGCUGCGCUCGCUGUGAAAAUUCCAGCGUGAAAAAUCAAAUGAAAAUAAACUCACAAAAAUCCAAUUGGGCGAGUGAUUUAUGUAUCUGUGUGUGUGUGUGUGUGUGUGUGAGUGUGAGUGUUUGUGUGGGGGAGUAUACCUUAGCAAUGUACCUUAAAAGACAAUCGUGUUUAGCUUACAAAAAAUGUAAUCUUAAUCGAGUACACGACAGCUAUAUAAAAAGUUUAUAUAUAUUAAAUGUAUGCACACAAACAACAUACAAAAUACAACUACAUAGAUGUACAAUUAUCGUAUAAGUAUUUAUAUAUAAAAUUAAAAAAAAAUACAUAUGUGUAUACACAUACAUAUAUUAUAAUUAAUAUGAAAUUAUAAACUUAACAUAGCUGCUUGAUGGGUCUCAAAGAGAGGUUCUAAUACAGUGGCAAAAAUAGAAUACUGACUGGGAUCGGAUGUGGGAUUACUGUCAUGCGAGAAUGUGGU